CCUACGGGUGGCAGCAGUGAGGAAUAUUGGUCAAUGGCCGAGAGGCUGAACCAGCCAAGUCGCGUGAGGGAAGACGGCUCUAUGAGUUGUAAACUGCUUUUGUACGAGGGUAAACGCAGAUACGCGUAUCUGUUUGAAAGUAUCUUACGAAUAAGGAUCGGCUAACUCCGUGCCAGCCGCCGCGGUAAUACGGAGGAUUCAAGCGUUAUCCGGAUUUAUUGGGUUUAAAGGGUGCGUAGGCGGGCGGUUAAGUUAGAGGUGAAAUCCCGGGGCUCAACUUCGGAAUUGCCUCUGAUACUGUGCGGCUAGAGAGUAGUUGAGGUAGGCGGAAUGUAUGGUGUAGCGGUGAAAUGCUUAGAGAUCAUACAGAACACCGAUUGCGAAGGCAGCUUACCAAGCUACUUCUGACGUUGAGGCACGAAAGCGUGGGGAGCAAACAGGAUUAGAUACCCUAGUAGUC
rnacentral:rRNA from 1 species